rnacentral:misc_RNA from 1 species
AAGAAAAAAAUAUAUCAACAUGUUUUCAUUCCGAAUGGGGAAUCAAUAAUUGUGAUCAUUCGAAAGAUGCUGGAGUAGAAUGUAGUAAAACAGGUAUGCUUGUUUCAGUUAGGUUACAAGGACCAAAAAGUGCAAAAGGUAUUGGUCGUGUUGAAGUAUUCCACAAUGGCCAAUGGGGAACGAUCUGUAAUAAUGAAUGGGAUAUGAGAGAUACUAGGGUUGUAUGUCGUCAACUGGGUUAUCAAUAUGCCGUCAGACAUUUUCAUUGGAGGCAGGAUCUUCCUGGUUCUGAGCGUAUAUGGUUGGACGACGUUGCUUGCAAUGGAAGAGAGCGAAAUAUAACAAGUUGCUCUCACAAUGGAUGGGGAAAUCAUAGUUGCGUGCAUUCGCAAGACGUUGGAAUUGAAUGCACUAACACAGCUUCAAAUGUGUCGGUGAGAUUACAAGGGCCUUCAAGU